rnacentral:rRNA from 1 species
AGAGUUUGAUCCUGGCUCAGGAUGAACGCUGGCGGCGUGCUUAACACAUGCAAGUCGAACGGGAAAUAUUUCAUUGAGACUUCGGUGGAUUUGAUCUAUUUCUAGUGGCGGACGGGUGAGUAACGCGUGGGUAACCUGCCUUAUACAGGGGGAUAACAGUCAGAAAUGGCUGCUAAUACCGCAUAAGCGCACAGAGCUGCAUAGCUCAGUGUGAAAAACUCCGGUGGUAUAAGAUGGACCCGCGUUGGAUUAGCUUGUUGGCAGGGUAACGGCCUACCAAGGCGACGAUCCAUAGCCGGCCUGAGAGGGUGAACGGCCACAUUGGGAUUGAGACACGGCCCAGACUCCUACGGGAGGCAGCAGUGGGGAAUAUUGCACAAUGGGGGAAACCCUGAUGCAGCGACGCCGCGUGAAGGAAGAAGUAUCUCGGUAUGUAAACUUCUAUCAGCAGGGAAGAUAGUGACGGUACCUGACUAAGAAGCCCCGGCUAACUACGUGCCAGCAGCCGCGGUAAUACGUAGGGGGCAAGCGUUAUCCGGAUUUACUGGGUGUAAAGGGAGCGUAGACGGUGUGGCAAGUCUGAUGUGAAAGGCAUGGGCUCAACCUGUGGACUGCAUUGGAAACUGUCAUACUUGAGUGCCGGAGGGGUAAGCGGAAUUCCUAGUGUAGCGGUGAAAUGCGUAGAUAUUAGGAGGAACACCAGUGGCGAAGGCGGCUUACUGGACGGUAACUGACGUUGAGGCUCGAAAGCGUGGGGAGCAAACAGGAUUAGAUACCCUGGUAGUCCACGCCGUAAACGAU